UGGGGAAUUUUGGACAAUGGGCGCAAGCCUGAUCCAGCAAUGCCGCGUGCAGGAAGAAGGCCUUCGGGUUGUAAACUGCUUUUGUCAGGGAAGAAAUCUUCUGGGUUAAUACCUCGGGAGGAUGACGGUACCUGAAGAAUAAGCACCGGCUAACUACGUGCCAGCAGCCGCGGUAAUACGUAGGGUGCGAGCGUUAAUCGGAAUUACUGGGCGUAAAGCGUGCGCAGGCGGCUUUGCAAGACAGAGGUGAAAUCCCCGGGCUCAACCUGGGAACUGCCUUUGUGACUGCAAGGCUAGAGUACGGCAGAGGGGGAUGGAAUUCCGCGUGUAGCAGUGAAAUGCGUAGAUAUGCGGAGGAACACCAAUGGCGAAGGCAAUCCCCUGGGCCUGUACUGACGCUCAUGCACGAAAGCGUGGGGAGCAAACAGG
rnacentral:rRNA from 3 species